GGAUAUAGCUCAGUUGGUAGAGUGCUUGCCUUGCAUGCACAAGGCCCUGGGUUCAAUCCUCAGCACCA
rnacentral:tRNA from 1 species